GUCAAAUCAUGCUGAAAACACCAUUUACCAUUUGAUCACUGAAGUUAAGCAGUGUUGAGCUCAUUCAGUACUUACAUGGGGGACCACUUAUAAAAAUCAGGUACUGUAAG